rnacentral:rRNA from 1 species
UACGUAGGGCGCAAGCGUUGUCCGGAAUUAUUGGGCGUAAAGAGCUCGUAGGCGGUUUGUCGCGUCUGCUGUGAAAUCCCGAGGCUCAACCUCGGGCUUGCAGUGGGUACGGGCAGACUAGAGUGCGGUAGGGGAGACUGGAAUUCCUGGUGUAGCGGUGGAAUGCGUAGAUAUCGGGAGGAACACCGGUGGCGAAGGCGGCGAUCUGGGUCGAUACUGACGCUGAGGUGCGAAAGCGUGGGGAGCAAACAGG